rnacentral:rRNA from 1 species
UGAGGAAUAUUGGUCAAUGGGCGAGAGCCUGAACCAGCCAAGUAGCGUGCAGGAUGACGGCCCUAUGGGUUGUAAACUGCUUUUAUAUGGGAAUAAAGUGAGGGACGUGUCCCUUAUUGCAUGUACCAUACGAAUAAGGACCGGCUAAUUCCGUGCCAGCAGCCGCGGUAAUACGGAAGGUUCGGGCGUUAUCCGGAUUUAUUGGGUUUAAAGGGAGCGUAGGCCGUUUGGUAAGCGUGUUGUGAAAUGUAGGAGCUCAACUUCUAGAUUGCAGCGCGAACUGUCAGACUUGAGUGCGCACAACGUAGGCGGAAUUCAUGGUGUAGCGGUGAAAUGCUUAGAUAUCAUGAAGAACUCCGAUUGCGAAGGCAGCUUACGGGGGCGCAACUGACGCUGAAGCUCGAAGGUGCGGGUAUCGAACAGG